rnacentral:rRNA from 1 species
UACGUAGGGUGCAAGCGUUAAUCGGAAUUACUGGGCGUAAAGCGUGCGCAGGCGGUUAUGCAAGACAGAUGUGAAAUCCCCGGGCUCAACCUGGGAACUGCAUUUGUGACUGCAUAGCUAGAGUGCGGCAGAGGAGACUGGAAUUCCUGGUGUAGCAGUGAAAUGCGUAGAUAUCAGGAGGAACACCGAUGGCGAAGGCAGGUCUCUGGGCUGACACUGACGCUCAUGCACGAAAGCGUGGGGAGCAAACAGG